rnacentral:lncRNA from 13 species
GUUAGUAAAUAUGUGGUGGUAGUAGUUACACAUCAUCCAUUUAAUUGUCAAAUAGUGUAAGAAAAAUUAGAGCUCUUUUACGUCAUUUAUUCCCCCCUGGAAAUCAUCGCUGCUACCACUACUACUAGGAUAUAGCCGCAAGAUUUUCACUUGUACAAUUGUCUGAAAAAGUAAUGUAUCAGCCCAAUCAUCUUGUGUGGAAAUAUCUAAAUUUGGUCUAUACUUAAUUCAGGGAUAGGUAUUAACUUUCAAUUGCAGGUACAUUUUACAUUCCACUUUUUGAUACUUGGCUAUGGUAAAGGGCAUUUGCAGAGAGGUAGUAUAGGGAUCAAGAUGAAUUUGUCUUUAUCGAUAAGAGUAAAGAGUAUUUGUGGCCUUUAAACCCAAAGGCUCCAACUCUGAGGAGGUAUCUGCCUAUCACUGUUCCCUGAGAUCUGUCACCUGGACACUGUAUCUGGGUUUAAAGGCUGCCCUUUCAGUAAAGAAUUUACUACCUCAUAUUUCCAGAUAAGAGGGUUUUUAUUUCUCUUCAUUUUAUUCUAAUAUCUUAAUAUUUUAACAAACUUUUUUCCCCAAGGAAUGCCUUGUGAAAGAAGUAUUCUAUUUUGAGGGGUUUCUGAAAAUCAUAAUAAUCAGAUUAUGAUUAGUUGAGGGAAGACAGCAAUUCAUAGACAGAUAUUGGGGCCUCCUCUGACUGCUUUGCAGGAAGGUCCUUAGCUUCUUUAUAAGGUUUUAAAGCUCUAAUUUUGUGUGUGGGUAUAGGCCUACCUUGCAAAGAGGAGCACACAAGCAAUAAUAAAAUAAGAAUGAAUAAGGUUAUUAAGUGCAAAGAAGAUAAUGAGAAAGGGAGCCAAAGAAGGUCUGGGUUUCCUUAGCGUGUGUCUGUAGGAUACAGGCAAUGGUAAAUCUGUAUCAAAAAAUCAAGCACAGCAGGAGGUGUUCGUCUCCCAGGUAAUGGGUAAAUGAUGAGCAGAUGAGCCAUCCUUCUAUUGAUUUAAGUAUUUUGUUCCAGCCAGUCACAAUUAACUUUGAUUUGUUUUUACUUUCCUCUUAUAGGUUUGCAUUUAAAACACUCUUGGAGCACCAAUUGUCUAAAAUUCUGAGCUGCAGAAGUCUGCUUCAUGAUUCCUCAGGCCUAGCAUGGGAAUAUAGGGAAACUAACACCUGCUGGGGCAAUUACCUAUGUGAGCAUAAUGAUUUUGAGCUUUGAGGAGUUUCAUUAGACUAUUGUUUGUUUUCUUACAACUCUGCAGUCUACCAAGUCGUACCGUGACACAUUUCCUAUGUCCACGGUAGGUAUUUAUAUUUCAAAUUAAAACAACUAUAAUUUUCUUCUGAAAAUUUUUUGGAGUUUUGUUUUUAACGAUCUAUGAGGUAAUUGAAGAUACCCCAGGCUGUCACAAAACUAGAGCUAGGAAUCACUGCUUUAGUGAUUAGCACUUUGUAAGCUUUCAAAAAAUAUUAAAACCAGGAUAGAUUGUCUAAUUUCUAGUGGGUGGAUUCAUUUUAGUAUAAUGUAAUGUGUUAACAAAUGCUCAGAAAGGAGGUUGUGGAUCCAGAAAGAUGGCUUUUGCAGAAGGCUUUUAUCCAAAUUAAUUCAAAAAAUAACAGGAACAGUUGUGUAUUGAGGCAGAAGGAAUAAGGUGACUCAAUUAAAUGACAGAGAAAUCUCCAGGAAAAAAAACUGUCGUAGGUCAACCCAACCCUAACAAUUCAAUUUUCAUCACUGAUGUCAAUAAUCCUGUAAUAAAUGCAUAACAACUUUUAAAAAAUGAUUCUUU